UUAACAAGAAUGAUACUAUAUCUGUCGCGAAGGUCGAGAUAUUGUCGACGGAAGGACAGCACGUCAGCGAAGAGAAAGACGUCGAGUGUGUUCGUCGACUCGUUAGUGACGAUGACUUUUCACUUUUCAAAGCCGAAGCCAAGGCUUAACCACAUAUUUCCCUCUCACGGUAGCUGAGUGUCGAUUACAUAUGCCCUGGAUAUAAAUAAAGCAGGCAUAGAAACUCGUCUACGCUACAAUUUCUUCUGUCAGACGAAAUUUAUUCCGCGUGCUCUUUGUAAAUUGACAGUCAUUGCUGUUUUUUAACAAAAGGUUAUUACGAAUUCGUAAGAAAGUCAAGGAACGUCCUUGAUUAUUUCAGUGUUAGUCGUCGUUGAAAUGUGGCAUCAAGUAAUUAACACUUGCAUUAUUCACGGUAGGAGGAGACGUUAGAACCCCUAUAAUACUCUUCCUCUCGUUCCGGAUAACCAAGCGAGAGACCCAUUGACUUCGUUCAUUGAUUUUACGUCAAUCUGCAAAGAGCACCCUUGCGGGCUCUCCGUGAUGCGUUUACCAUAAGCGAUAAGGGCUGUACGGAGUUAGGUGUGAGAGAGGACUAAAUAAUAUCUAUAUAGACGUCAAUGGCAGGUUGUGUAAAAUCUGUAGAUUUGCUGAUUCCUAUCGAAAUCCUCGGGACACCUGUUGUUUCACCUGACGAGGAAAGAUAGUUUUGGUUUCGCGUUAUCGCGGUCAGUUGAGUGAGUUUUCGUGUAAACUCGACGUAUUGGCUCAAAAAGGUUUGAGUAACGUAACUCGGAUGAGACAGAGGUUAAUUUGGUACGAGUUGUAAUCCCUCUCAUCCGUCGGAUGAAAUUCCAGGACCCUCCGGGAUGGACGAAUGACAGAAGGCUUUGGAUUAUUGCCUCGCUUUAUUCAGGAUUAUAUCGAGUGCGAAGAAAAAGAAAAAAAAAAAAAAAAAAAAAAGAAAAGAAGAAAUUAAUCGACACUUUUUGCUUUCAUCAUUAGUUUAAUCAACGUGGGGUAGACGCUAUCUCGUGGUUCUCCAUUUGCUUCGAUCGGAAUGCGAAGACGUGCAUGGGAUUGUGAUGUUACCAUUAUUCGCCUCGAUAACGUUUACGAUACGCAUAUAGCCUAGCAUAUAUCGUAUAGGUUGGGAGGGGUCGGACCAGAGCGUGCCGGCAGCUCGUCGUUAAUAUAAUGGCGAAAAUGGCAAAACGGGUCGACAUCACGUAGAGAAAUAGUGAAAAUAGUAAUGACGAAAAUUCAGGCAGGACGUGAGCUAACACUUUUGAAAUAUUUGAAAAUGAAGCUGAAAAUGAUGAACUCAUAACCGUCACUCUGUUCCGUCGCCCAAGCCUUUUGGAGUCUCCCUAAUUGACCCACGCCAGUAGCCAAUAGGAUUUGAAAUUAUAGGUCUCGAGGAAAAAAGACGAUUAUCAGUCAAAUAGAGAGAAUACAAACAAACAUUAACGACCGGGACUUUGACGUUAAUCGGGAUGGAAAAGGAAAGCAGUUAAAAGGAAUUCUUCUAGCCGGACUGAACUCGUCACGCAUUUGAUUAAAAUUAUAGUUACAGUAUCUAUAUAUAUAUAUAUAUAUAUAUUAUACUAAGCGCUCUAAUAUCUAGACAGGAAAGUAAGAUUUUUAAAAUGGAAUGCAUUCCACGACAUCAGCUUUAUCGUACGUGCUGUCUUGGUCGUUUACAGGGAAAUGACGUGGAUGGAAAUGAAUAAUGUAUGGAAGAGCAUAUGUAAGCGUAGAUAAGAAUCUUAUCAAAAGAAUCGAUCAAAGACGUUCUGUGAGGUCACGCUCGAGUGGUGCCGUCUAAUUUAUUGAGUGCAACGAAAUGGUGAUAUGACGAAGGCUACCGUUAAGAUUGGACAAUAAUAAUGA